CUAUGAUCUAGUUAUCUCCAUAACUAGCUUAUUUUAUGGACCUAAUAAUUUAAAAAAUUUAAUUAAUGAUUUGAUAAGAAAUGAACCAGCAAGUCUUAAAUCCACCCACUGACUUUACCAAGUCACGAAAAGGACUAGACAAGCUGGUCCAUUGGAUUGUGAGUUUAAAUCCUCCCACUGACUUCAUCAAGUCAUGAAGAAGACUAGAGACAAGCUG
rnacentral:lncRNA from 1 species